AUGGCGAGCAUGCCGGAGCAGUCCUCGGAGGUGAGCUGCUCCGGCCUGACCCAUGUGAACAGCGAAGGCUUUGGCUACCAGCAGCCUCAGGCCGUCAGGGCUCACGCCGGCGCCGGCCAGUUCCAUCUGCCUCCUUACGGCGAUGUCGGUGCCGGCGACUACGAGCUGCGGCACGUGUACCCACAGAUGUACUCGAGGCCUCCGCACUUCUCGCAGGUGCUGUCGCGGUAG
rnacentral:rRNA from 1 species